rnacentral:rRNA from 1 species
UACGUAGGGUGCGAGCGUUGUCCGGAAUUAUUGGGCGUAAAGAGCUCGUAGGCGGUUUGUUGCGUCGGCUGUGAAAACCUACAGCUUAACUGUGGGCCUGCAGUCGAUACGGGGCAGACUUGAGUUCGGCAGGGGAGACUGGAAUUCCUGGUGUAGCGGUGAAAUGCGCAGAUAUCAGGAGGAACAGCCGGUGGCGAAGGCGG